UACGUAGGGGGCAAGCGUUGUCCGGAAUCAUUGGGCGUAAAGAGCGCGUAGGCGGCCCAGUCAGUCCGCUCUGAAAGUCAGGGGCUUAACCCCUGAAUGCGGGUGGAUACUGCUGGGCUAGAGUCCGGAAGAGGCGAGUGGAAUUCCUGGUGUAGCGGUGAAAUGCGCAGAUAUCAGGAGGAACACCGAUGGCGAAGGCAGGUCUCUGGGCAUUAACUGACGCUGAGGAGCGAAAGCAUGGGGAGCGAACAGG
rnacentral:rRNA from 1 species